rnacentral:tRNA from 1 species
GGUGCAAACGGUUAACACAUUUGGCUGCUAACCAAAAUGUUGGAGGUUCAAGUCCACC